rnacentral:lncRNA from 1 species
UUGAAGCCAUUCAAUUUCCUAUAGUUACUAACUAUAUGGAUAAUUUUAAUUUUAUCCAUAUAGUUAGUAAUUCAUUGGAGAAAAUCAUCCAAGAAUGGUACAUGAUCAAAGAUUGUCUCAACCUAAAAAAUUAGUAUAUCCUAUAUAAAUGACAAGCAGAAGAAAUUUUCUCAAAGUUCUAUUGAAGUGACUAUAAAUUCUUAGCUAUCACUAAAAACUAUAAAGUCUUAGC